AAUUUAGCAAGGGGGCUAUGAGUUCUACACCCAAGUUGGACUUGAAGAAAGUCAUUCUUUCUUGUGUGGAGCCAUCUACCUUCGCGUUGAAGCCUUUGCCAUCCAAUCUCAAAUAUGCAUAUCUCCUAAGAAGCUUUCAGAUAAAAGGAUAGAGAGGUAAUUCAAGACAGAACCUAUGAGCACAAGUAAGAAUUUUCUCACUGUGCCACGUGCCGCGGCGCACCAUCCAAAAAUCACUUAAAGCUUAUGUGAAUAGCUUAUGAAAAUAAAAGGGAGGAGGCUGGAGAAGCGUUUGAAGAGCAAGAGGAAGACAUCUCUACUAGGGCAAGUAUUAUCUGGAGCUCAGGAGUCUGCUUCGAUUGAUUACUUGCUAGGUAAAGAGAGAUUGAAAAGGCUGGAAAAGAAAGCAAGAAAAGAGUAGCCUCAAUUGAUAGUGAUAUGACUCCCUAUAAGUAGAUAUGAAUGUAUAAAUGUGUUGAUAGAAUUAAGUUGCCAACUAAGAUGCAUAUUUGUAUGUGAAUAUGAGAAAGUGGAUGGUAUUGUGAAACUUGCUUGUAUAUAUGUAUAUUUGAUGCAUUUUGCUAAGGUGGCCCUGAGGAAGGUGCAUGGGUAAACUCAAAUGCGAACA